GAGUGUGAGCAAAAAGCAACAUGUGACAGGGACACACUUUUCAAUUCUGAACAUUUCACACUCAUUUUCCAUUUGAUCAUCAAAAACACGUUUCCAUUUCAGAUUCCAAAGAAAGCAAUGAAAGGAAAAUCAAAGUGAUCGCUUCAGGACGAGAUGAUGACUCAGCAGAGAAUGAAAGUGGGCCUGAUACUAAAGAUUCCAAAGAAAGCAGUGAAAGGAAAAUCAAAGAGAUCACUUCAGGACGAGAUGAUGACUCAGCAGAGAAUGAGAGUGCGCCUGAUACUAAAGAUUCUGCACAAAGAACAAGUCACUCAGAGGCUCGAGAUUCCAAAGAAAGCAGUGAAAGGAAAAUCAAAGUGAUUGCUUCAGGACGAGAUGAUGACUCAGCGGAGAAUGAAAGUGCACCUGAUACUGAAGAUUCCAAAGAAAGCAGUGAAAGGAAAAUCAAAGUGAUCGCUUCAGGACGAGAUGAUGACUCAGCGGAGAAUGAGAGUGCGCCUGAUACUAAAGAUUCUGCACAAAGAGCGAGUCACUCGGAGGCUCAAGGUAUCAAUAUUUCUAUUUUAAUCUGUCCCAGUUUCUAACAAUCAUUGCUGAGUAAUCUAUUGACAACUGUACUAAUGGUUGGGAAUCUGUUUGGAUCCAUUGGCCUUGGCUUGAAGGUCAAAGCUCAGAGCCCGGAGUCAGGGGUCAGCUCACUGUUCCUGUAUCUGAAGAUCCAGGAGGCCAGAGAGUGUGGCUGAGGGAUAAUCUCAGCUCCGAUAAUUAGGUUCCCAUGUUAUAUAUUAAUGUUAAAGAUGAUCCG